rnacentral:lncRNA from 1 species
UUGGACACACCUUCUGGGUUCUAAGAGCAAUGCUUUUACUCUCCUUAAAUCUUUUCUGGCCAUGGUUCACACUCAAUUCCAUACUACUGUCCAUAUUGUUAGGAGUGAUAAUGCUUUGGAACUGGGUUCCAGUGUUUCUGGUGCAUCCUUUUUUGCCCAACAUGGAAUUAUUCACCAAACCACCUGUCCCCAUACACCUCAACAAAAUGGUGUUGUAGAGAGAAAACAUAGAACCUUACUUGCAACCUGUAGAGCUUUGCUUUUUCAGUCCAAAUUACCCAUUCAUUUUUGGGGAGAUUGUUUACUCACUUCCACUUACUUAAUUAAUAGGAUCCCAUCCAGACUUCUACAUAACAAAUCUCUUUAUGAAGUCCUGUAUGGCAUUGCUCCUGACUACUCUCAUUUAGGAUCUUUUGGUUGCCUUGCUUAUGCAACUGUGCCUAUACCUCACAGAGAUAAAUUACAGCCUAGGGCUAUUGCAUGUGCUUUUCUAGGAUACCCCUUUGAUAAGAAGGGAUAUAGAUUGUAUGAUCUCACCACUCACAAAUACUUUGUGUCAAGGGAUGUUUUUUUUCAUGAAACCUGUUUCCCUUUUGCCUCUGCUUCUGAUGCUUCUCCUCCUCCCCCUUCUGUUCUUUCUUCUGCCCCUUUCCCUCCUGAUUUUGAUCCCCCUCUUUCUUUUUCCAUGAAACCUGUUUCCCUUUUGCCUCUGCUUCUGAUGCUUCUCCUCCUCCCCCUUCUGUUCCUUCUUCUGCCCCUUUCCCUCCUGAUUUUGAUCCCCCUCUUUCCCCUUCCUCUGUCUCUAUUCCAAUUCCCUCUCUUGUCCCUGAUCCCCCUUCUGUCUCUCCUCCUGAUUUUGCUUCCAAUUCCUCUUCUCCUUCCCCUCCCUCUUCCUCUACUGCUCCUCCUCCCCCUGUCUCUCCUUCUCCUCCUGCUUCUGCUGGUCACAGGAGGUCCAGCAGACCGCACAACCCCCCUUCUUACCUAACUGAUUAUGUCUAUCACCUUCCCUCUUUUUCUGGUUCUUCCUCUACCUCCUCCUCUUUGGAAACUGAACCCCUUUACUAUUCUCAAGCUGUUUCUGUCCCAGCUUGGCAGGAUGCUAUGUCCAGAGAGGUUGAAGCUUUGGCUGCCAACAAUACUUGGUCUCUUGUUCCUCUACCUCCUGGCAAAAAGCCCAUAGGUUGCAAAUGGGUCUAUAAAAUCAAGUAUAAGGCUGAUGGCUCUGUUGAAAGGUACAAAGCCAGGCUGGUCAUUAGGGGUGAUACUCAGGUUGAGGGUGUUGACUUCAAUGAAACUUUCUCUCCUGUUGUCAAGAUGUCUACUAUUAAAUGUCUAAUUGCUGUAGCUGUUAAAAAGCAUUGGGGACUUUUCCAACUUGAUGUCAAUGAUGCAUUUUUGCAUGGUGAUCUUGAUGAGGAAGUCUACAUGAAGCUCCCUCCUGGUUUAUCUGUUACUUCUCCCUCUGGUCUCUCCACUUCUGCUCCUAUUGUUUGCAAGCUACAAAAAUCUCUUUAUGGACUGAGACAAGCUUCCAGACAGUGGUAUGCCAAGCUGUCUCAGGCCCUUUAUUCCAGGGGUUACACUCACUCUAUGAAUGACUAUUCCUUGUUUGUCAAAGGUAAACCUGGGUGCAUUGUGAUUCUGGCUGUGUAUGUUGAUGAUAUUAUUAUAACAGGGGAUGAUGUUGCUGAACUUUUAGCCCUUAAAGUCUUUGCGCAAAUUUGUUUCUGAUCUGUUGCACCAGUUUGACUGUGUGGAUGUUUCCCCUGUGGUCUGUCCUUUAGACCUUAAUGCAAAGCAGCAAUCUGACUCUGGUGCUCUUCUUUCCUUUCCUGAUUACUACAGAAGUUUGGUAGGCAAACUUUUAUUUUUAACUCAUACUCGACCUGAUAUAUGCUUUGCUGUCCAGCAUUAAGUCAAUUUUUGAAGGCUCCCCGACUCCCUCAUUUGUCUGCUGCUUUGCAUGUACUUAGAUACCUAAAGGGUACUGUUGAUCUGGGGUUAUUUUAUUCUGAUACUCCUGAUUUUACUGUUACUGCCUUCUCGGACAGUGACUGGGCUGCUUGCCCAGACACUCGCAAAUCUGUCGCUAGCUUCUGUGUGUUAUUGGGUGAUAGUUUGGUUAGUUGGAAGUCCAAGAAACAGCCUGUGGUCUCUUUGUCAUCUGCUGAAGCAGAAUACAGGGCUCUUAGCAAGGUAGUUGCUGAGUUGUCUUGGAUUUCUCGUCUCCUCACUGAUCUUGGGAUAUCUAUUGCAUUUCCACUUUCUGUUUACUGUGAUAACCAGGCAGCUCUCCAUAUUGCUAAUAACCUUGUGUUUCAUGAGCGAACGAAGCAUAUUGAAGUUGAUUGCCAUUUUGUUCAAUCUAUGCUCUCGGAUGGCCUGAUCUCUCUCUCCCAUGUCUCCUCCAACCAGCUUGCUGAUGUGCUGAUCAAGCCUCUGCCUGGAUCUGCUCAUCAUUCUCUCUUGUCCAAGUUAAAGGUGGUCUCCCCCUUCAACUUGCGGGAGGGGAGGGGGGUGUUGAAUUAGGAGAUUAUUUGGCCUCCAAACCUAUACACAUACAUUAAUACUUGUUGUAUAUAAUUGUAUUAUUAUUGUAUAUUGAGGGUAUAUCAUACAAUGGGCUAGAGAACAUGUUGUAUUUUGGUUUGGGCCUACUAUUACAGACUUGGGCUCUUAUUUUCGGGUCUUUUAUUUGACCCAUUUGUACAGGAUAUAUAUCUGGUAGAGUCUUCUGGAAGACACCA